GGUUAGUACCUAUAAAAAGUGGUUCAAGGAAGGACAACCAGUGGACUGGUGUCAGGAUCAUGGACGCCCAAGGCUCAUUGAUGCAUGUGGUGAGUGAAGGCUACUGUAGCUCAAAUUGCUGAAAAACUUAAUGCUGGCCAUGAUAGAUUUGUGUGUGAACACAGAGUGUAUCACAGUUUUCUGUGUAGCCGCAAAUGUCAGUCUCUUUUAUG